GACGAACGCUGGCGGCGUGCUUAACACAUGCAAGUCGAACGGAAAGGCCCUGCUUUUGUGGGGUGCUCGAGUGGCGAACGGGUGAGUAACACGUGAGUAACCUGCCCUUGACUUUGGGAUAACUUCAGGAAACUGGGGCUAAUACCGGAUAGGAGCUCCUGCUGCAUGGUGGGGGUUGGAAAGUUUCGGCGGUUGGGGAUGGACUCGCGGCUUAUCAGCUUGUUGGUGGGGUAGUGGCUUACCAAGGCUUUGACGGGUAGCCGGCCUGAGAGGGUGAACGGCCACAUUGGGACUGAGAUACGGCCCAGAAUCCUACGGGAGGCAGAAGUGGGGAAUAUUGCACAAUGGGCGGAAGCCUGAUGCAGCAACGCCGCGUGCGGGAUGACGGCCUUCGGGUUGUAAACCGCUUUCGCCUGUGACGAAGCGUGAGUGACGGUAAUGGGUAAAGAAGCACCGGCUAACUACGUG
rnacentral:rRNA from 1 species